rnacentral:lncRNA from 1 species
CUUGGGACACAGUGUCUCUAAGAUGAGCUAGAAGAUGACUUUCACAGGUGGUUUUGAAGACUGAAUCCAAUUCGUGUGGAUAAAAACUACAAGGCAUAGAGUGAACUCCUACACCUGAAUACUCUUGGUGCAGCGGGCUCCUUCCCAAGAGAAGGUGGACUUCAUCUUCCUCCCCACCACGAAGCCUCUCAUAGACUGACCCCAGCUCACAUCUGGACCCAG